rnacentral:rRNA from 1 species
UACGGAGGGUGCAAGCGUUGCUCGGAAUUAUUGGGCGUAAAGGGUAGGUAGGUGGUCUCGUUUGUCUGGGGUGAAAGCCUUGAGCUUAACUCAAGAAGUGCCCCAGAAACGGCGAGACUAGAGUUCUGGAGAGGGUCGUGGAAUUCCCGGUGUAGCGGUGAAAUGCGCAGAUAUCAGGAGGAACACCGGUGGCGAAGGCGGUUCUCUGGGAAUGACCUGACGCUGAGGAGCGAAAGUGUGGGGAGCGAACAGG